rnacentral:rRNA from 1 species
AUUGAACGCUGGCGGCAUGCCUAACACAUGCAAGUCGAACGGGGCAGCAAUGCCUAGUGGCGGACGGGUGAGGAAUACGUAGGAAUCUGCCCUUAAGUGGGGGAUAACCAGGGGAAACCCUGACUAAUACCGCAUGAUCUCUUCGGAGCAAAGAGGGAGACCGCAAGGCCUCUCGCUUCUGGAUGAGCCUACAUCUGAUUAGCUAGUUGGUAGGGUAAAGGCCUACCAAGGCGACGAUCAGUAACUGGUCUGAGAGGAUGAUCAGUCACACCGGAACUGAGACACGGUCCGGACUCCUACGGGAGGCAGCAGUGGGGAAUAUUGGACAAUGGGCGCAAGCCUGAUCCAGCAACGCCGCGUGUGUGAAGAAGGCCUUCGGGUUGUAAAGCACUUUAGCCUGGAAAGAAAAAACUUUGGUUAACACCCAAAGUCUUGACGGUACCAGGAGAAUAAGCACCGGCUAACUCUGUGCCAGCAGCCGCAGUAAAAC